AUUGUGCGGGGAAAACAAUGUCAGUUGCCUCCUCUUCCUGUUUGCGGCUUUGUGCCUUACCAUCUUGGCCAUGCAGCAAUUAGUCCAAAAUGAGGAGCAGCUGAGUUGGUCCGCCUCUCACAGCUGGGAGUUGAUAUGCAGUGGUCUGGAUCUGUGCUACCUGUUCCAACAGGGUGGCUGCAGCUUGAUCUACUGCUGGCUAUGGUGCUGCUGAAAAAGGCUUUACAAUGAGCCCUACAGAAUAUUUUAGGCUGCUGGUUCUUUGUCUUUGUCUGCUGGAUAGUGGCGUAAACUGUGAGGAUGCACAGAAAGGUUACGUUCUACAUGUCCAGGCAGGACAGACACCAAAGGGAGGCCACAGUGAUGAGAGAGACCACAAAAGAUGGAGCGAGCCAUCUAUUUCAAGAAUCCCCACAGCUGGUUUCAAGACAUCAAGUGUGGCCAGGGAGCAAAGUGGCAGCCAGCCUGCUCAAGAAGAUCACACCACUGACUCCGCACCACCACAAAUGCAAAGCUGGUAUCCUUAUCCCGUGCACAGAAAUGUUCCAAAAAGCCGAGUCAAGCUUUUAAAAAAAGGCUUCAGCUCUGCCAGAGUUGCACAAGUACGAAGUACUGUGGCGCACGACCGCUCUGGAACCAAAGCAUUCCCUUUUCCCUACGUCAAGAAGAUUGAUCAAGCAAUUUCUGAGUCUGUAUUCUCCACAGAAGCAGUUCAGGUUCCGCCCAAUUUCUAUCGUCUGUCGAAAACCAAGCUGACGGGAGGGUUUUCACCUCAGGUAAAGGAAGCACCAGUGGGCUUUGGACUGAGCAGAAGGGCCCUCAUCUAUUCACACGGCAGCGCAGAAAGUCCAAAUAUCAAAGCCAUCAAGUCCAGUCUGAAGUCCGAGUCUCACAAGACGCACAUAAACCCAUCCAGACCAAACGUAUUCCCUAUAAACCCACAUGGCUCGCAUCUCCCAACUAGGCCCGAGGUGAGUGGAAAUCCUGGCAGUAGUUCAGCAGGAAAAGAGGAGACUCCAGCAUGGGGUCCCAGGAGCCACAGCGGGGAUGUGACAUCUGAAGCAAGAGGAUACGCCCAUGUUCGCCACAUCAAGCCUAGUAAUGACAAAACACACCCCCAAGCUAGUUCUGCUGCAGGUAGAAAGUUCUUGGAAACUGGUUAUCCAUCUUUAAUACAAAAUCAGGGAAGACAUAGCCACGAUUCAAGUGAAAGACGGCAAAAUCUUAAUCACAAUACCCGAGGAAAACAGCCCAGCAGCUGGCAUCCUCCACCACCAGACAGAGCACCAAGCCAUGUCCAAGGCAAAUUCAAACCUUUCCAAAGACUUCCUACAAAUGAUCCCCCUCCUCACCACCACUCAGCAGAUGAAGAAACGGAGCCCACUAGGACAGCUGCAGGGACAACGCUGUCCCCUUGUUUGAACUCUACAGGUAUCAAUUCAUCAGUUGUCCCUUCAGUUGAUGGAGAGUUGGGCACCACGACUGCUUCACCCAUGCAGACGGAGAGCCAAGAUGGAGAGUCGACCACCAUGUCUGCUUCACCCAUGCAUACGGAGAGCCAAGAUGGAGAGUCGACCACCACGUCUGCUUCACCCAUGCAGACGGAGAGCCAAGAUGGAGAAUCAACCACCACGUCUGCUUCACCCAUGCAGACGGAGAGCCAAGAUGCAACGCUUGUACCUCAAACGUCAAACCAUGAUGGCCAGUCUGAAAGCUCAGCAGAAGUUGGAUCCUCCGGGGAACAGGACAAACCAUCAACAGUUUUUCCUCUGACUGUUCACCCAGCAGAAGAAGAAAAAGGUGACACAGCUGUCUCAAGUCCUUCGCAAAAAGAUCAGUCUGAAGUUUGAUGCCGUUUCGGCAAGCGUCAAUAUUGGUGGCAACACCAGCAAGAGGUACGCCUUUGUGGUGGAACCGAUGCAUUUUUUUUUUUUUUUAGCAAAAUCUCUGUAUUUGGAGCUGUGUCUGUUUGCAAAAAUGCAAAUUGGUUCUAGCUGUCAAUGUCUCAGUGGUGAAAUAACUUGUUUAAAAAUGUGGUCUGUUUUUCCCUGACAGGUUUUAAACCUGCUCUGAGCUCUGCUGCUUGUCCAAAGUGUCUGACUUUUGAAAAGAAUAUCAUUAAAGGUUUUUGCUCUGUCUUUACAAACUGGCUUUUGCUGUGGUAAAUUAAACAUCACAACUGAUCAGAAACGAGUUUGGAGGUUAAACAUAAGUUGGAUAUAGUCUGGAGUAUAUUUGUGAAAUGCUUAUUACAAUUUUUGUCUGAGCAUUAACUGUUAAUAGACUUCAGACAUUUGUCCACAUUUUGACAUUGUGAUAAAUGUGUUAUCACAGCAGCUGUUAAACUAGGCUUUUUUUUUUUUUUAUACACAUAGCGUUUGUAAGCAGUGGAAGAAGUGUUGAAAUUAUUCUCGUACAAGUGAAAGGUCCUGCAUACAAAAUCAGAAGUAUAUCAGCUAACUUUUAACUUUAGAAUCAAAAGCACUCGAUAUGCAGAAUAAAGGUCCCUGUCAGUGUUUUACUAUGAAACUGGAUGCUUUAGGAUAUUUCUGGUGCAUAAUGUGUGUGAUGCAUUUUACUGCUGCAGAUCACCAUUACUCAAAAAUUAGUUGGUGAUAUUUUAGUGUGUCGCAUGAUAUUUUAUUCUGUGACAUAUCUGACUUUUUGUUUUGUGAAUAUUCCCCCCCCCCCCCCAAAAAAAAAACCAAAAACCAAAAACAAACAAUGCAACACACUUAAAUGGACUUUUAUUGCAUAUCCAUGCACAUGCAUGUCAUUUUGGGUGGUGUAUACCUCAAAAUGAAUAAGAGCAUCUUCAAAUAAAAACAUUUAGGCCUAAUUUUAUUGGCAUUUGUUCUUCAUCAAAC
ensembl:lncRNA